AUGCCAAGAACCGUGUCGGACGGAGGCGAGGACUUUGACGGCGACGUCUCCAGCCAGACGGGGUCGCACCGUUACACAGACAGCAACAGCACCCACCACCACCACCACCAUGGCUACAAGGUCGGGUUCCCGCCGGCGAAGGGCCUCCUCGCGGAGUUCGCAGAUGGGGUGAAGGAGACAUUCUUCGCCGACGAUCCGCUGCGUGAGUACAAGGACCAACCGAGGUCCAAGAAGCUGUGGCUCAGCCUGGUGCACCUCUUCCCGGUGCUGGACUGGGCCAGGAGCUACAGCUUCGGCAAGUUCAAAGGGGACUUCGUCGCCGGCCUCACCAUCGCCAGCCUCUGCAUACCUCAGGACAUCGGUUAUGCCAAGCUUGCUUUCCUGCCAGCACAUGUUGGACUGUACAGUAGCUUCGUUCCGCCUUUGGUAUACGCUAUGAUGGGCAGUUCCAGGGAUAUAGCCAUAGGUCCGGUGGCCGUCGUGUCCCUGUUGCUUGGAACUCUCCUCCAGGAAGAGAUCGAUCCAGUCAAGAAUCCGUAUGAGUACAGCCGGCUGGCCUUCACCGCAACAUUCUUCGCGGGGAUCACUCAGGCGAUGCUUGGAUUCUUCAGGCUAGGGUUUAUCAUAGAGUUCCUGUCUCAUGCAGCCAUCGUUGGUUUCAUGGCGGGUGCCGCCGUAACCAUUGCCCUUCAGCAGCUCAAAGGCUUCCUUGGCAUCAAAAAAUUCACCAAGAAGUCUGAUAUCAUCUCGGUCAUGGAGUCAGUAUGGGGAAAUGUACACCAUGGGUGGAACUAUCAGACGAUAUUGAUUGGCGCAUCCUUCUUGGCGUUUCUUCUAACUACCAAAUACAUCGCCAAGAAGAAUAAGAAGCUCUUCUGGGUUUCUGCAAUCGCCCCGCUCAUUUCAGUUGUCAUAUCCACCUUCUGUGUGUUCAUCACCCAUGCAGACAAGCAGGGCGUUGCAAUUGUCAAGGAUAUAAAGCAAGGCAUCAAUCCACCUUCAUUUCAUCUCAUAUAUUGGUCUGGCCCAUACUUGGCGAAAGGAUUCAGAAUUGGUGUAGUAGCUGGAAUGGUUGCCCUUACGGAAGCAAUCGCAAUUGGAAGAACAUUUGCUGCCAUGAAGGACUACCAAAUAGAUGGGAACAAAGAAAUGGUAGCUCUAGGAACCAUGAACAUUGUUGGCUCAAUGACUUCAUGCUACGUGGCCACAGGUUCUUUCUCGCGAUCAGCAGUAAAUUACAUGGCUGGCUGCAAAACAGCAGUAUCCAAUGUUGUUAUGGCAAUUGUAGUGAUGCUCACACUGUUGUUGAUCACUCCAUUGUUCAAGUACACGCCCAAUGCCAUUCUAGCUUCCAUCAUCAUAAAUGCAGUGGUUAGCCUAGUUGACUAUGAGACGGCGUACCUUAUCUGGAAGGUUGAUAAAAUGGAUUUCGUGGCAUUGCUAGGAGCAUUCUUCGGGGUCGUAUUUGCAUCAGUGGAGUAUGGCUUGCUCAUUGCGGUUGCAAUAUCUCUUGGAAAAAUUCUUCUCCAAGUAACACGGCCGAGAACAGCUUUACUCGGCAACCUCCCAAGAACAACGAUCUACAGGAAUGUUGAACAAUACCCAGAAGCUACCAAGGUGCCCGGGGUUAUGAUUGUCAGAGUGGACUCAGCUAUCUACUUCACAAACUCCAAUUAUGUUAAAGAGAGAAUCCUGAGAUGGCUGAGGGAUGAGGAGGAACAACAGCAGGAACAGAAGUUGUCCAAAACAGAGUUUCUCAUUGUUGAGCUAUCUCCGGUAACUGAUAUCGACACAAGUGGAAUCCAUGCUUUGGAAGAGUUGCUGAAAGCACUUGAAAAGCGCAAAAUUCAGCUGAUCCUCGCCAAUCCCGGGCCGGCAGUAAUCCAGAAGCUGCGGUCAGCGAAAUUCACAGACCUCAUCGGCGACGACAAAAUAUUCCUGUCGGUCAGCGACGCAGUGAAGAAAUUUGCUCCGAAGUCAGCCCUGAACGUCUGA
rnacentral:rRNA from 1 species